rnacentral:rRNA from 1 species
UACAGAGACUGCAAGCGUUAUUCGGAUUCACUGGGCGUAAAGGGUGCGCAGGCGGCCAAGUGUGUUAGGCGUGAAAGCCUGGGGCUUAACCCCAGAAUUGCACCUAAAACUACAUGGCUAGAGCAUUGGAGAGGGUAGCGGAAUUCACGGUGUAGCAGUGAAAUGCGUAGAUAUCGGGAGGAACACCAGAGGCGAAGGCGGCUACCUGGACAAUUGCUGACGCUCAGGCACGAAAGCGUGGGGAGCAAAAGGG